AUGGGGUGCUGCAGGAUCGGAGACCGGUCAAACGUGGGCGGCGGCACGAGCCCCACUAGCGCGGCGGCGCCCGCCCGCGACGCCGUCGACCACGCCCGCAUGAACUGCCACACGGCCUGGCCGUCGGCGACCGCGUGCAGGAUGGUCACCCCUACCGCCACGGCGCCGUGGCCCGCCGCCGGCCUGGUGACCUGCACGGCGAGAACGCGAGCGGGCAGCUGCGCCACGUCCAGGUCCGGGACAAGCUGCGAGAACGCCUCGGUGUCGUGCUCCUCCUCGCGGGCCAGGCGGCGCAUGUCGUCGGCGCCGCCCAUGUACUCGGCCUCCACGAACCUGACACCGGAGGAGACCGCGGCCGGGGAGCAGUCGACGACGACGGCGCCGGAGGAGGGGCGGAAGGCCAGCUCGCCGGCGAGCGGAAGAAGACGGCGAGGGUGUCGGCGAGGGAGGACCUUAGGGCGCUGA
rnacentral:rRNA from 1 species